rnacentral:lncRNA from 1 species
CUAAUACAGACUAACAACUAAUUCAUUUUGUAUGUUUAUAACAAAACACAGUAAAACAAUGAUUUUUACCUGUAUUUAAUAUUUGUAAAUGGGCAUUUUAAAUAUUACUGUGUCACUGCACGUACACAUUGCAUUUAUGAAUCAGAAAAUAUUCCUUAAAAGAUGCCUUCAUUUCAUAGUAUUCAAAUCCACAUAUUAUAGAAAUUAGGCCUUCAACCCUAUAUAGUAAUUAAGAAACUAGAGACACAUGCCUCUAAAUCAAUCAUUCAAAAUCAGUCACAACAAAGACACUAAUAAUGAAUUAAUUUACAAUGAAAACAUUUCCAAAUCACAGAUGUAAUCUAUUUUGAACAAUAUUCAACACUGUAACAGUUCAGUGCAAUUUAAUAAUUGGGACACCCCUUCAGAGAGAUUUAUUUUUUAAUCAAACAAAUUUAAAUAAAGAAAUUGUGCUCCAAUUUUACCCAAAGUUAAUUUCUAAAUCUUUAUAAAUCCUCUGCUUAU